rnacentral:rRNA from 1 species
UACGAAGGGUGCAAGCGUUACUCGGAAUUACUGGGCGUAAAGCGUGCGUAGGUGGUUUGUUAAGUCUGAUGUGAAAGCCCUGGGCUCAACCUGGGAAUUGCAUUGGAUACUGGCAGGCUAGAGUGCGGUAGAGGGUAGUGGAAUUCCCGGUGUAGCAGUGAAAUGCGUAGAGAUCGGGAGGAACAUCUGUGGCGAAGGCGACUACCUGGACCAGCACUGACACUGAGACACGAAAGCGUGGGUAGCGAACAGG